CGGAGAGCUGCAGAGUGAAGAUAGUGCAGGAUAUUCUGGUAGCAUUGAAAUUCUACAAGGUAAUUUAAUGGAAAAGAGGCUUGUGCUGUUUAUAUCUGGAGCAUCUUGAGCGCCUAUGGAAAACUAAUAUCAACUUACAAUUAAAUGAAAAGGAACCUCGAAUUGAUUUGGAGCAAAUAGACUUGCAGCGGAAGAGUUUUGUGCAAUAGCGUUCCGAAGCUCAGCGCUGAUUGUGAUGUGUUUUCAAAAAAGAAGAAAUGGACCGGCCGAAUUAAGUGAUUUUAGUGUUUUGUUGCAAAAGGAGCUAUAUAGUGAUAAGGAAAAUUGGAGGGACGUAUGCACAAGUUCGGAUUUUUACCAAGACCAAAAUCUUUCGGAAUUAAGGAGCUUCAUCCUUCGACUUACUUAAACGCAAUGUAAAGGUAUACUAUG